UCUCGCGCUCUUGCCCUAGAUCGCACAUCGCAGUGGCGCCGUGUCCUCUCCUUCUUUCUCACUGAGCUUCUUGCAUUCUCCGAGACCGAGCUCAACCGUCGCCAGUUGCUGACUUGCCGUCAUUACCUCGCAUCUGGUUUGUGGCUUCAGACUUCAGGGUAAUCCGACAUCGCCCCUGCUUCGUCUCUGGCUCUCUGCCACCCCUGUGAUUCUGUAAAGCCUUCGGUGCUCCGGCUGUCCGGUGUCCUCUCCACUCUCCGACAGGGAUACAGCCUUAUAUGCAUCAGUGAGAGAUGAGUCUGUCAUUACUGAUCUGUUUUGUGGAAUAUGUGACGGUGGGUUAUUUUCUUAUGGGAUGGUUUGGUGUUGUAUUCAAAGGAGACAUAUCACGCAUGUCAGAGCAUCUAGCCAUAGCAAUAUCAACUGGUUACUUAGGAAGCCUCACAACUUUCAGCGGCUGGAAUUAGAAGAUGCUGGAACUUAGUGUUUCUGGGCAUUGGCUUUUCGCAGCGCUUGGCUUUUUUAUAGGCCUGUUUCUCGUCGCAUUUUCCAUCAUCUUCAGAAUAGAGACAGCCAAGGGUUUCAAGUGGCUUCUUAACAAGAGUUCAAUAGCUAAAAGAUAUGAGAUGAAGUGGAAGGUGAAUGGCUGCAAGCGUCAGUUGGGAGUCAUGGCGGUGUUGCUGGCGGCGUGAGGCUUGUUAUGUUCCUUUAUUUUACUAUUAUGUAUUUAUGUUUAAAAUAUGAUAUGUAAGUAACAUGCAUAAAAUCGGGAAUGGGGGAUCUAGGAUUUGUGAGAUGCAAUUGGGUAGUGGCGUAUGGAGGACAGGAGGAGCACUAAAAAAAGAUGAGUAUGCACUGAGCUUCUGAUGAAGCACAUCCAAAUCAAUUCUCAAAAAUGAGGCGAGGCUAUCU